rnacentral:misc_RNA from 1 species
CUUAAACCCUGUACGCAAACAACUGCAGCUUCAAGUCUUCAACUCGUCGCUGCGCUUCGCUUUCCUCUUCUCGUUUGGAGCUGCUCUUACAGUUCAGUUCUUUUGCUGUAUUUUGCACUCUUUGCCAUGUCUUUGCUCGAGGUGAUCACAAAUGCUGCAGCCAAUCCUGAACAAGUUGCAUCACAAUCUGAAUACCCAAUAAUUCUAAAUGCGGAUGAUAUUUUACUCAAUUUGAAGUCACAGCUUGAAAGUGUAGAUUCUACAUCACUUGCUAAUCCUGUUACCGGGUGGCAACUCUCACAAACUGAUGCUCAGCUCAUUGAAUCAGGCAAGAAAUUCUUUACUAAGCUCAAAAGAAAGCUCAAAGACACUAUUAAUUUCAAUAAAGAUGAAUUUGUUGAAAUUUUGAAUCUGUUUCUUGAGAAAAUUGGGGAGAAGUUUGGGAUUUCUGUUGGAGUUGAUUCUUCAGAUAAUGGCUAUACUCAGGUCUUGAUUGAAAAGGUGGGGUUUUUGAUGGGUAGAGAUGUGGCAGGAUUGGUUUUGGAAGCGUGUGUUAGGUUGGAGAUUUGGGAUUUGGUGGAGACUUUGAUUGUUAAAGGCAUUGUUGAUCAUUCAUAUUAUUCAAAUUUGGUAACAAGUCUUGUGGUAAAAAAGAGGUCUGAUUUGCUUUGUUUGAGUAUUAGACAUGCUCCGGAUCUUGGAUUGACCGAGUUGCUUUGCAUUUUGAAAUACUUUCUUUGUCCAUCAAAAGACGCCUAUAGUAGCAUGGUGAAUGUCAGGAAGGAGUGGGAGAGCCAGGCAUUGUUAGCUAUUGAGAAGGUGAAAGACAAGAAACUCUCAGACAAGAAAUCGCGCAUAGCUAAGGAGGCUUCAAUUCUGCUUAUGCUUGCCCAUGAUGGGUUCUCAACGUCUGAGCUUUGUUUGCAUUAUUUGCUGGCAUCAUCGAAUGUUGAUGAAGUUAUAUUAUCAUCUUCAAUAGGUAAAUUGAAUGGUAAAGAUAUGAUGAGUUUAAUUAGGUAUCUCGGGAAAUGGUUAAAAAAAUAUGAAAUGUUUCCUCAGGCAGGUCCAUGCCCUAAGGCAUCAUCUAUGCUGGGCUUGAAAGCUUGUGAUUGGGUUCCUAAACUUGAAGAUAUUGUCAGAUGUCUGGGGUUGGUGCUGGAUGAAAACUUCUCUUCCCUGGUGUUGCAUCCAGAGUUUCAUGAAGAGCUGAAAUCAAUCGAGGGAUUGGUUGGUUCUCUAGCUUUAGAAGCUAAAUUAUGUUGCUCUAUGGCAAACGUAAUUGAGAAUUUGAAAACUGAAGCUGAAGGUGAACAGAGUUAGGAGCAAUCACUAAUGGUUUUCUGAUCCAUAAUUUAUGUUCCAAUAUUUGGCUUAGUCUAUAAUCUUAGUUUAACGUCAUUUUUAUGUAAUUUUUAUUGUCAGAAUUUGCAUUAAUUAGCAUAUUUAGUGUAUUCAAAUGUGUCUACACAUGUACAAUUUUUUGUUAGCAUUGAAGAUUUUGAUAUAUUGGUUUCCAUAACCUGAGUUUUCUAAUCCUGUGUUGGGAAAAUUUUCUCCCUCCUCACAUUCUGAAAUCCCUUCAUAUGAAAUCUAAUCGAGUUUUCC